AUUGAACGCUGGCGGCAGGCCUAACACAUGCAAGUCGAGCGGAGCGGCAGACGGGUGGGUAAUGCCUAGGAAUCUGCCUGGUAGAGGGGGAUAACGUCCGGAAACGGGCGCUAAUACCGCAUACUCUCAGAUGAGCCUAGGUCGGAUUCGCUAGUUGGUGGGGUAAAGGCAUACAAAGGCGACGAUCCGUAACUGGUCUGAGAGGAUGAUCAGUCACACUGGAACUGAUACACGGUCCAGAAUCCUACGGGAGGCAGCAGUGGGGAAUAUUGGACAAUGGGCGAAAGCCUGAUCCAGCCAUGCGGCGUGUGUGAAGAAGGUCUGCGGUUUGUAAAGCACUUUAAGUUGGGAGGCGUUACCAACAGAAUAAGCACCGGCUAACUUCGUGCCAGCAGCCGCGGUAAUAC
rnacentral:rRNA from 1 species